GGGUGGGAUAUAAGCAAGGGGAGAUUUGAAAUGAAGGUCAGAGACUGUGUACUGGAAAUACACAGUACUUUGGUAUGGGGACACAGCUUGUUGUUGUUGAUGACCUGAACAAGGUAACUCCUCCAAAAGUGACUGUGUUUCAGCCAUCCGAGGAAGAAAUUGAGGAGAAGGGAAAGGCCACACUGGUCUGUCUGGCCACAGGUUUCUACCCUGACCUUGUGAAGCUGAGCUGGUGGGUGAAUGGGCAGCAGACUCAAGUUGGGGUCAGCACAGACCCUCAGCCCUCCAAGGAGCAGCCUGAUAACGACUUCUCCAAGUACUCGAUGAGCAGCCGCCUCCGGGUUUCUGCUCCCUUCUGGCGCAAUCCCAAGAACAGUUUCCGUUGCCAAGUAUUGUUCCAUGGGAUCUCAGAGGAUGAGCCCUGGACCGGUAACACAAGCAAACCCAUCACCCAGAAUGUCAGUGACCAGAUCUGGGGAAAGGCAGAUUGUGGUGUUACCUCUGAGUCCUAUCAACAAAGUAUCCAGUCUGCCACCUUCUUCUACGAGAUCCUACUGGGGAAAGCCAUGCUGUAUGGCCUGCUGGUCAGUGCUCUGCUGUGGAGAACCAUGGCCAAGAAAAAACAUUCCUGAGGCCACUUGUGGAGAUAACAACAGGGAGGAGAGAGCAGGAGAAUUCAGCACCCAUCUUGGUUACUGCUUUCCCUAUUCCUAUCCUGUGUUCCAGAAGAACUAUUAUUUCCUCGGUUCCCAUCUUCAUCUUUUACAGGUCUCCUCAAAAAGAACUCUGAAGCUCACAGAGAAGAAGAAUGGUGGCUUAAUCCUGAAGAAAUAAAAAAGGUCUUGCCCUGCUUAGCUGUUACCAA